rnacentral:rRNA from 1 species
AUUGAACGCUGGCGGCAUGCUUUACACAUGCAAGUCGGACGGCAGCACAGAGAAGCUUGCUUCUUGGGUGGCGAGUGGCGAACGGGUGAGUAACAUAUCGGAACGUACCGAGUAGUGGGGGAUAACUGAUCGAAAGAUCAGCUAAUACCGCAUACGUCUUGAGAGGGAAAGCAGGGGACCUUCGGGCCUUGCGCUAUUCGAGCGGCCGAUAUCUGAUUAGCUAGUUGGUGGGGUAAAGGCCCACCAAGGCGACGAUCAGUAGCGGGUCUGAGAGGAUGAUCCGCCACACUGGGACUGAGACACGGCCCAGACUCCUACGGGAGGCAGCAGUGGGGAAUUUUGGACAAUGGGCGCAAGCCUGAUCCAGCCAUGCCGCGUGUCUGAAGAAGGCCUUCGGGUUGUAAAGGACUUUUGUCAGGGAAGAAAAGGCUGUUGCUAAUAUCAGCGGCUGAUGACGGUACCUGAAGAAUAAGCACCGGCUAACUACGUGCCAGCAGCCGCGGUAAUACGUAGGGUGCGAGCGUUAAUCGGAAUUACUGGGCGUAAAGCGAGCGCAGACGGUUACUUAAGCAGGAUGUGAAAUCCCCGGGCUCAACCUGGGAACUGCGUUCUGAACUGGGCGACUAGAGUGUGUCAGAGGGAGGUAGAAUUCCACGUGUAGCAGUGAAAUGCGUAGAGAUGUGGAGGAAUACCGAUGGCGAAGGCAGCCUCCUGGGAUAACACUGACGUUCAUGCUCGAAAGCGUGGGUAGCAAACAGGAUUAGAUACCCUGGUAGUCCACGCCCUAAACGAUGUCAAUUAGCUGUUGGGCAACUUGAUUGCUCAGUAGCGUAGCUAACGCGUGAAAUUGACCGCCUGGGGAGUACGGUCGCAAGAUUAAAACUCAAAUGAAUUGACGGGGACCCGCACAAGCGGUGGAUGAUGUGGAUUAAUUCGAUGCAACGCGAAGAACCUUACCUGGUCUUGACAUGUACGGAAUCCUCCAGAGACGGAGGAGUGCCUUCGGGAGCCGUAACACAGGUGCUGCAUGGCUGUCGUCAGCUCGUGUCGUGAGAUGUUGGGUUAAGUCCCGCAACGAGCGCAACCCUUGUCAUUAGUUGCCAUCAUUCAGUUGGGCACUCUAAUGAGACUGCCGGUGACAAGCCGGAGGAAGGUGGGGAUGACGUCAAGUCCUCAUGGCCCUUAUGACCAGGGCUUCACACGUCAUACAAUGGUCGGUACAGAGGGUAGCCAAGCCGCGAGGUGGAGCCAAUCUCACAAAACCGAUCGUAGUCCGGAUUGCACUCUGCAACUCGAGUGCAUGAAGUCGGAAUCGCUAGUAAUCGCAGGUCAGCAUACUGCGGUGAAUACGUUCCCGGGUCU